rnacentral:rRNA from 1 species
GACGAACGCUGGCGGCGUGCCUAAUACAUGCAAGUAGAACGCUGAAGGAGGAGCUUGCUUCUCUGGAUGAGUUGCGAACGGGUGAGUAACGCGUAGGUAACCUGCCUGGUAGCGGGGGAUAACUAUUGGAAACGAUAGCUAAUACCGCAUAAGAGUAGAUGUUGCAUGACAUUUGCUUAAAAGGUGCAAUUGCAUCACCACCAGAUGGACCUGCGUUGUAUUAGCUAGUUGGUGGGGUAACGGCUCACCAAGGCGACGAUACAUAGCCGACCUGAGAGGGUGAUCGGCCACACUGGGACUGAGACACGGCCCAGACUCCUACGGGAGGCAGCAGUAGGGAAUCUUCGGCAAUGGACGGAAGUCUGACCGAGCAACGCCGCGUGAGUGAAGAAGGUUUUCGGAUCGUAAAGCUCUGUUGUAAGAGAAGAACGAGUGUGAGAGUGGAAAGUUCACACUGUGACGGUAUCUUACCAGAAAGGGACGGCUAACUACGUG